AACAUUUGUUUGAAAUUGUGGCAAUAAAUAUAUGAUGACCUUCUGCCAAAUGGUCGAUUUCUAUAUUUGCACAACACACGAAUACUUGUACAAUUUACAAUACAUUACAUCUGUUUAACAAUAGUCUAUUUUACGAAACGACAACAGUGUUGAUAUUGAUAUUAACACUCACGGGCUUGGGCGCAACCUCCUGUCAAAUUUUCAUUCAUGAAAUGAGCGAUCAGCUGAUCCGAAACGUCUCGUAAAAUGGCUCAUUCGACAAACUGUUGCAUCGCGUAAUUCGCCUUGACGGAGGCUCUCUGAGAGAAUUGCGCUGUGCGUGAAAACAAAUUUGUUUAACAUGGGAAAGGAUAGGAGCUGCAUUUUCAAAUGCUUCUAAUUCUUUAUAGAAAUUUUUUGAGGCAAAACGUAGUUCCGGCAAACGUUGAGGCAAACGUAGUUCCGGCGUUCCGGCUAAAAAAGUAGAACUGAAAAGCGAGCUGAAAAGUGUCAGUAUUUCCUGCUGCAUCUUGGAUAGCACCCGAAUCCCCAGCGAUCUGGAUAGGUGAGUCAACGAAAGACGAUGGAUGAUGCAACCGCAUUAUGAAAAAGCAUCAAAUUCCACAACGCCACCACGGAAGCAACACAAGGGCAAUCCGAUAACGAUCCGGCGGUUCAAAAUGAUUUCCUAAGCGGACGUAGACUGAUCAAUAAUAGACCAGAACAAAUGGAACCUUGGAGCAGGUCGUGAAGGUGUCCAAAAAAUCGAACCAGGAGGCCGGGGAGUGGCGCAUGAGGCUCGUUUGAGCGGGAUGUUGCAAAUCCAGAACUACAAAGAACCUGUGAAUGUGCGAAGAUCAGAUGGACACGUACAAUCCCGCUGAAUAUCGGACGUGAACCAAGGUCAUGCUGCUUCUGCGAUAGUUUGAGGACAGUUUCUUCGAUACGCGUGGGAAAUGCCGUUGGUCAUUGAGUUUGCCAGCACCGCUGCCUGAUAACUUACUCCAGGUCGUCAUCAACAUUCUAUACCAUCUAUUGUGGUCCCACGCCACCUGCUGAAUAUCAAAUUUUGUGCUUAUUUUUCUGCAACCAAUUCAAGUGUAAACGUGUCUUUCAAAUGUACCCAAUAUCGCUCUGAUGUUUUAGUCAAUAUAUGCAAAACUUAUUAAGAUUAUUUGUUACUUUUUUUUAUGCAAUUUGCUUUUUUCUAGUAGCUGCUUCCGCAAAAAAAAAGUAUUUUUUAUGUAGUGGCAAAUUCUACGAUUGAAAUUGUUUGCAGAAGUAGCUACUAGAAAAUAGUAAAUUGCCUGAAUUGAAAAUUUAUGACAUAAUACUAGAUUCAAACAAUAAGGUAUACUGUUUAUUGAACUUUAUUUCACAAUUAAUGAACUGUCUGCCUCAGCGUCGAAAAUUUUCCCCAAAUAAACGGUUUGACAAUUUCAAAACAGUUUGACAUGCAGUCAACCUUGCAGAAAAUAGAUAGUAUGUCAACACUAUGGCUUACAGUAUUGCAAAAAUUUUGUUCGAGAAAAUGAGCAUUUCUAGAUUGAGUUUAAAUAAGGGCGAAAGUAACAUGAGAGAGUUCUCUUCAUCGACUCUCUCUUCUGCAAAUUAAAGUGACAAGAUGCAAAUUUAAUCGAACUGUUUUACACUUAGACGCUAGAUUGCAUCGCAACCUAGCGAUUUAUGACCAAAAAGUUCAACAAUACUUGCAUCUUGUCACUUUAAUUUGAAGAAGAGAGAGUCGAUGAAGAGAACUCUCUCAUGUUACUUUCGCCCUUAUUUAAACUCAAUCUAGAUAUUUUUAUUGUAACAUAACUUAACCGCCUAUUCCCCAUAUUGUAAUUUUCUAAAAAACCAUCUAUCAAACUGUUGAAACCGUUUACGGUACUGUUGGUUUACUGUUCCUUUGGAUGUUAUACGAAGCUGUUGAGAUACUGUAGUAAAUGGUUCUGAACAGUAUGGUAAGCAGUACCAGUACAGUUCGUGGUUAUGCGGGUAUGUACAUGACUUAAUAUAGACCAUGGGUA